rnacentral:rRNA from 1 species
AGAGUUUGAUCAUGGCUCAGGACGAACGCUGGCGGCGUGCUUAACACAUGCAAGUCGAACGGUGAACUCCGCUUGCGGGGGGAUCAGUGGCGAACGGGUGAGUAACACGUGGGCAACCUGCCCUCAGCUCUGGGAUAACUCCAAGAAAUUGGGGCUAAUACCAGAUAUGACUGCUGACCGCAUGGUCUGGUGGUGGAAAGAUUUAUCGGCUGGGGAUGGGCCCGCGGCCUAUCAGCUUGUUGGUGGGGUAGUGGCCUACCAAGGCGACGACGGGUAGCCGGCCUGAGAGGGUGACCGGCCACACUGGGACUGAGACACGGCCCAGACUCCUACGGGAGGCAGCAGUGGGGAAUAUUGCGCAAUGGGCGGAAGCCUGACGCAGCGACGCCGCGUGGGGGAUGACGGCCUUCGGGUUGUAAACCUCUUUCAGCAGGGACGAAGCGGAAGUGACGGUACCUGCAGAAGAAGCACCGGCCAACUACGUGCCAGCAGCCGCGGUAAUACGUAGGGUGCAAGCGUUGUCCGGAAUUAUUGGGCGUAAAGAGCUCGUAGGCGGUUUGUUGCGUCGGCUGUGAAAUCCCGAGGCUCAACCUCGGGUCUGCAGUCGAUACGAGCAAACUAGAGUGUUGCAGGGGAGACUGGAAUUCCUGGUGUAGCGGUGAAAUGCGCAGAUAUCAGGAGGAACACCGGUGGCGAAGGCGGGUCUCUGGGCAACAACUGACGCUGAGGAGCGAAAGCGUGGGGAGCGAACAGGAUUAGAUACCCUAGUAGUCC